UACAGAGGUCCCGAGCGUUGUUCGGAUUCACUGGGCGUAAAGGGUGCGUAGGUGGUGAGGUAAGUCGGAUGUGAAAUCUCCGGGCUCAACCCGGAAAUGGCAUUGGAAACUACCUUGCUGGAGGAUUUGAGGGGGGAUUGGAAUACUUGGUGUAGCAGUGAAAUGCGUAGAUAUCAGGAGGAACACCGGUGGCGAAGGCGGGUCUCUGGGACGGUACUGACGCUGAGACGUGAAAGCGUGGGGAGCGAACAGG
rnacentral:rRNA from 1 species